AGGACGAACGCUGGCGGCGUGCUUAACACAUGCAAGUCGAGCGGAAAGGCCCUUCGGGGUGCUCGAGCGGCGAACGGGUGAGUAACACGUGAGCAACCUGCCCCUGGCUCUGGGAUAGCCUCCGGAAACGGGGAUUAAUACCGGACAUGACCCUUGACCGCAUGGUUGGGGGUGGAAAGUUUUUCGGCCAGGGUGGGGCUCGCGGCCUAUCAGCUUGUUGGGGGGGUGACGGCCCACCAAGGCGACGACGGGUAG
rnacentral:rRNA from 1 species